UGUAUCACUUACUCGGCACUAACAUAGAAAAGUGUUAACUAUGCCAUGAACAAUAGAUAAGUUUCUCGUCUAUGCCAUUUUACAUGACUCGUUUUCCGCCUGCCACACUGUCUACGGAAGAAGACCCCUUUGCCCUCAAAUAAGGGGACUCUUGAUGAAGCGUCGGGCUAGAGAAAAAAAAUUAAAAAGAAAAACCAAUUGUUCAUGAAGUGACUUAAAGCUGUAAGACCAGUUAAUUAUAGCCUUGGGGAAUGCAACCCUUCCACGAUUUAUUGAACCAAUUUUCUCUCCUCUUCUAAAAAAUCUCUUUAGUUUCCUUGUCUUCAAAUAAAAGAUCACCGUUGUUGCGACUUUUAACUUUCGUUCAUAUUCCGACAACCGUCGUACUAUUCCGAGAGCCAAUAAAGUGUUACAAACUCGAAACUGAUUGGCCAAUCCUCCACCUUUGGACCCGGCGACCGCGACAGGGGAAGUCUCGGAAACUCGUUCCGAAGUGAAAAACCCCGACGAUUGUGGUCUCUUUCAGAUAUCCGAUGCCGUAAUUAGUGAGGGAGAUCUUACUGACACUGCCGGACGCAGGUGUGAUGAAGAUGCUUGUGCUGGUAAUCCAAUUCCUCCCCAUUUCAGGCUACUUAUCUAGGGAUCUGUUAUACUCGGACGACACAAACCAACAACGAAGGUCGUGCAAGGUCGGAGAGGCUUCUACUGUUCAGCCAUCUUCUGAUUGAAAUUCCCCCAACGAAGCAGCCCCUUCUGGUAUCGGUGCUCCAUUGAUGGACCACACUCUGAACUCAAUGUCGGCGGAGGUCUCAGAAGCAGCUGCAAACGUAAGGGAUCCAUUAAUAGACAACAGUCCGAAUUCAAGGUACAUGUCCACCCAAUCUUUGUCUACCCGAACAUGUUUGUGAAUUAAACAAUAUUUAUGUUCAAGGUACAUGUCCACCCAAUCUUAAUAGACAACAGUUCGAAUUCAAGGUCGGUCGAUGUCUUAGAGACUGCUAAUGUCCAGCCAUCUUCGUAUUGUAAGUCUCCCAAUGAAGCAAACCCUUCUCUUAUUCGGGAUCCCUUAGUGGACAACAGUUUGUAUUCAAGGUACAUGUUCACCCCAUCUUUGUCUAUCAAACGUGUUUAGCUAUGAAAUACUGGAGAAUGUUUACCAGAAUGACAGGACCGACAAUUGUGGUCCACUGGCCGUAAAGUAUAUCGAGCUCCAUUCGCAAAAAAUCACGCCUGAAGGACUAACAUAAGAAAUGGUGGACCAACUACGUAUGUCCUACGAUGUUGAUGUCUACCAAGAGUUUGUUGUCUCACUAAAGAAUUGAACUUAUUAUGUCUACCUUAUGUUGGCCCUCUUCUUUUUUUCGGUCCUUUUGUUACGGUUAUGUACUUUGUCUUUCGUUCGCUACUACAUUUUGUCUUUUAAACAAAUGUUAGAAGAGUGGACCGACUUUACCUCAUUAUAACAAUUUAAUGCCCUUGCUUUAUCUAAACAAGUGCAUUAAAAGGCUACAAAACUUAAACACGCCUAACCUGCCAG